AUUGAACGCUGGCGGCAGGCUUAACACAUGCAAGUCGAGCGGAAACGAUACUAGCUUGCUAGUAGGCGUCGAGCGGCGGACGGGUGAGUAAUACUUAGGAAUCUACCUAGUAGUGGGGGAUAGCACGGGGAAACUCGUAUUAAUACCGCAUACGACCUACGGGAGAAAGGGGGCAACUUGUUGCUCUCGCUAUUAGAUGAGCCUAAGUCGGAUUAGCUAGAUGGUGGGGUAAAGGCCUACCAUGGCGACGAUCUGUAGCUGGUCUGAGAGGAUGAUCAGCCACACCGGGACUGAGACACGGCCCGGACUCCUACGGGAGGCAGCAGUGGGGAAUAUUGGACAAUGGGGGCAACCCUGAUCCAGCCAUGCCGCGUGUGUGAAGAAGGCCUUUUGGUUGUAAAGCACUUUAAGCAGUGAAGAAGACCAUAUGGUUAAUACCCAUAUGCGAUGACAUUAGCUGCAGAAUAAGCACCGGCUAACUCUGUGCCAGCAGCCGCGGUAAUACAGAGGGUGCAAGCGUUAAUCGGAAUUACUGGGCGUAAAGGGAGCGUAGGUGGCUCGAUAAGUCAGAUGUGAAAUCCCCGGGCUCAACCUGGGAACUGCAUCUGAAACUGUCGUGCUAGAGUAUGUGAGAGGAAGGUAGAAUUCCAGGUGUAGCGGUGAAAUGCGUAGAGAUCUGGAGGAAUACCGAUGGCGAAGGCAGCCUUCUGGCAUAAUACUGACACUGAGGCUCGAAAGCGUGGGUAGCAAACAGG
rnacentral:rRNA from 1 species